GCCAUGCUUAACAAGCAUCUUCGGCAGUGGCAGCUUUGGGAGGGCCAGGGACGCGGGGGUCAGUUGGCACAGCAACUGCUACUCAGGGACAAAAGGAGGCUUUCGUGGCGGCGGUAGCAGCUGCUAUCCCGAAUAGCAAAUCCACACGGCUUGGCACCACUCCAGCUUCCUUGAGGGUUGCAGAGGGAUGGUGUGUUGGAGGGGCGAUCCGUCCCUUUCUGUGUCACGGAUUCUGGUUUUCCUGGCAGCUUUUCUUUCUGAAAAAGCCUUGGCACAGAGCACUGUUGGAGCCCAGUGCAGGAGGUCACAGCCUUCAUGUCCCUGGGGCUCUUCCAAGUUAUGGACUUCACCAACGGAUCUCUUCUAAACCAUCCCAACUGAUUUUUUUCUUCCUGAAGUCCUCUGCAGCACAAAGGUUAGAAAUUCAGUUCUAAGUGAACGAGAGCUGAGAUUCUCCUGUGAUCUUCUCGCUCUGGGAUCCAGGACCCAAUUCAAAAGUUGGAUCAAAGGCCCAAGAAUGAAGAAAUGGAGAGCCAAGGGGAACAGUUCUCAUGCUAUCCCCAGUAUACGUGUCAUUAUUUCAUAGGUUUCGAUGACAUGGAAGCUUCAGAAAUCCGGAUAUAUGCCCUUGACUUGGUCACCUUAUUUAUUAGAGCUGAAAAAUGCAGGAACUAAGCGAUAAAACUGAGUGAGAGAAAUCUUUGCCACCCUGGAAAACAUUCAAGAUUGAGCUACAGCAAUAAUAAUAAUAUUGGUACUGUUCUUGGCCCAGAUGUGGAUGUUAAAUCAUAAUUUGAAAUUCCAGCGAGUCACAGAGGGAAGGGGCUGCGCCAGCUGAAGCCUUUGGUUUGGUCCAAGCUGGCUUUGGUGGCUGAGCCUGGGGUUUUGUGUUUCGGUUUGCAGUUAGCUUAAGCCUGAGGACAUGGAUUCCCUCCAAGCUGUGUGUAUAUGGGAGAACUCUGUGCUGGAAGACGAUACGUGGUGACUUCAGAGCUUUCUCCAGCGGUUUCUUUGUCAAGUGAUACUGAAGUGAUUCAAAACAGGAUUUUGCUGGGAAUUAACUGAAGUGGCGUGGCGUGUUUUAAUGUAAAAACCCCAUGGCCAUGUCAGGUAGAGCCCAGCAGUGCUGUGAAGCCACUGUCCCCAUCUGUCCUGUAGGAUGAGAACAGCUCUUCGUGUUUCCCUAUGGCCUUUGCAGUGAUGGCUCCUAGCCAUGGUGAAUAUGGCCCUAGUCCUAGCCAGGAAAAAAUGGGAUAUUUUUGCUUUUCAGCUUCCUGAUUGAAAGCUCUGUAUCUCAAGAAUCUGUUUGGAAUUAAACGUUUUGAAGCCUUUCAACUGGUUUUUCCCAUCCUCUUUCUAUUGAGAAAAAUGUGACUUUUCUGUGAUGCCGAACAUGUCUUUCCAGCUGGAAGUUUAUUUUUCCUUAGCUGCCCCUUCUCAUGUCACUGGCAGUAAAUUUUGCUGUAGUCUUUGUGCAUAGACUUCAAAAUGCUCGGAUUUUUUCAUCAAAGCAGAAAGUUUCUGUUUUUCUUCAUACGCAUAUUUCUGCAUUUCUUCUGGGCUCCUCUCCUCCCAGCCCAAACCUCUGCAUUGCUGCCAGUGUGCUCAUCACUCAGCUCUUUCAAAGGACCCAUCAAAGUAAUUCAGCUUCCUCCUUGGGGUGAGCCUGGUUUGCCUGUCCUUUAAUGAAUGCUAUCACUUUGCAGGAGAAAAAUUAUGACAACAAAAGCCAUUGAAAGUCACUUUGGUGAAUAAGUUGGUAUCGAAGCCGGUCUGGAUUUAGAUCUGCUGUUUGCAUGAAAAGCUCUGCAAUGUUUGAUUUCUCAAAUGAAACCAGUCUCGGAGAUCCAAUAAAA